GAUGAACGCUAGCGGCAGGCUUAAUACAUGCAAGUCGAACGAGAUUGAGGAGCUUGCUCUUCAUGAAAGUGGCGCACGGGUGCGUAACGCGUAUGCAACCUACCUUAAUCAGGGGGAUAGCCUCUCGAAAGAGAGAUUAACACCGCAUAACAUUAUUAUAUGGCAUCAUAUGAUAAUCAAAUAUUUAUAGGAUUAAGAUGGGCAUGCGUGACAUUAGUUAGUUGGCGGGGUAACGGCCCACCAAGACGAUGAUGUCUAGGGGAUCUGAGAGGAUGACCCCCCGCACUGGUACUGAGACACGGACCAGACUCCUACGGGAGGCAGCAGUAAGGAAUAUUGGUCAAUGGGCGCAAGCCUGAACCAGCCAUGCCGCGUGCAGGAAGACGGCCCUACGGGUUGUAAACUGCUUUUAUACUGGAAUAAACCUACUUACGUGUAAGUAGCUGAAUGUACAGUAAGAAUAAGGAUCGGCUAACUCCGUGCCAGCCGCCGCCGCAAAAC
rnacentral:rRNA from 1 species